rnacentral:rRNA from 1 species
CAACAGGGAUUGCCUCAGUAACGGCGAGUGAAGCGGCAUAAGCUCAAAUUUGAAAUCUGGCUCUUUCAGGGUCCGAAUUGUAAUUUGUAGAAGAUGUUUCGGGUGUGGUUCCGGUCUAAGUUCCUUGGAACAGGACGUCAUAGAGGGUGAGAAUCCCGUAUGUGACUGGAUACCUACGCUCAUGUGAAACUCUUUCGACGAGUCGAGUUGUUUGGGAAUGCAGCUCAAAAUGGGUGGUAUAUUUCAUCUAAAGCUAAAUAUUGGCCAGAGACCGAUAGCGCACAAGUAGAGUGAUCGAAAGAUGAAAAGCACUUUGGAAAGAGAGUUAAACAGUACGUGAAAUUGUUGAAAGGGAAGCGCUUGCAAUCAGACUUGCGCCUAGUUGAUCAUCUGGGCUUCUGCCUAGUGCACUCAAUUAGGCUCAGGCCAGCAUCGGUUUGGGUGGUUGGAUAAAGGCUUAGGGAACGUGGCCUCCUUCGGGAGGUGUUAUAGCCCUAGGUGCAAUGCAGCCUACCUGGACCGAGGACCGCGCUUCGGCUAGGAUGCUGGCGUAAUGGUUGUAAGCGACCCGUCUUGAAACACGGACCAAGGAGUCGACCUAUUUAGCGAGUGUUUGGGUGUUAAACCCAUACGCGUAAUGAAAGUGAACGGAGGUGAGAACCCGUUAGGGCGCAUCAUCGACCGAUCCUGAUGUCUUCGGAUGGAUUUGAGUAUGAGCUAAGUGGGUCGGACCCGAAAGAUGGUGAUCUAUACGUGAAUAGGGUGAAGCCAGAGGAAACUCUGGUGGAGGCUCGCAGCGGUUCUGACGUGCAAAUCGAUCGUCAAAUUUGCGUAUAGGGGCGAAAGACUAAUCGAACCAU